AGGCGCGUAGCUCAGUUGGUAGAGCGCUACCCCGACACGGUAGAAGUCACCAGUUCAAGUCUGGUCGUGCCUACCA
rnacentral:tRNA from 1 species